AUUGAACGCUGGCGGCAUGCCUUACACAUGCAAGUCGAACGGCAGCACGGGAGCAAUCCUGGUGGCGAGUGGCGAACGGGUGAGUAAAGUAUCGGAACGUGCCCAGUCGUGGGGGAUAACGUAGCGAAAGUUACGCUAAUACCGCAUACGAUCUACGGACGAAAGCGGGGGAUCGCAAGACCUCGCGCGAUUGGAGCGGCUGAUGUCAGAUUAGGUAGUUGGUGGGGUAAAGGCUCACCAAGCCGACGAUCUGUAGCUGGUCUGAGAGGACGACCAGCCACACUGGGACUGAGACACGGCCCAGACUCCUACGGGAGGCAGCAGUGGGGAAUUUUGGACAAUGGGCGCAAGCCUGAUCCAGCCAUGCCGCGUGCAGGAUGAAGGCCUUCGGGUUGUAAACUGCUUUUGUACGGAACGAAAAGGUUUGGCCUAAUAAGCUGGACUCAUGACGGUACCGUAAGAAUAAGCACCGGCUAACUACGUGCCAGCCGCCGCAGUAA
rnacentral:rRNA from 1 species